rnacentral:lncRNA from 1 species
AGUGAUCCCGUGUUGGCUCUGUAGUAUAAACUGCACUCAUCAGAUUGGACACAAGCAGUGAUCAGAUCUGUCUGUCAGUAACUGAAACUGGGUCAGAUUCUGUUUGCUGCAGAGAGCUAAAUCCCAAAAAGUUAAAUUUCUACUCCAGCUCUGAUGAAUCUGCAAGUUCUGAUAACGAUGGCCGCAGGACAAGAUACAAAGCUGGACCCAAGAAUGGAACCAGUGAUAUGGGAAGGAGCCAAGCACCUUU